UGGAGACUGGUAGGGCAGUUUCUUCUUCUAAGAGAGCAGGGAGUACCGUUUGAGUCUAGUUCUUCUGUGGUGGACCUAGAGAGCUAGAUAUUCUCUAUCCUGUGGCUUUCUUUGUAUUCCAGGCUAUCCCUGUGAAUCCUCUUGAUGCUGAGAGUGAUUUCCAACAAAACUGCUCAAGACUCCAGAGAACAACUAAAUCCACCCACACAACUGUCUAAGUUACCUACCUUCACAGUGAAUGUUUCUACAUUUCCCUCUGGCAACGUCAAAGUAAUCUUCACAUUGUCAAUUUUGCUCAUAUCCUGGGUCACACUGAAAAAUGACUGUGUCUCCAGGUUCUCUCCCAUCGCCAUUUCGAGUUCCAUUCAUGGGGACACCUGGAUCACGACAAGCAGUGGCUACAGAACCUACCAAGAGAAAAACAGAGGUGCUUUUAUUUUCAUUCCACCUUAAACAUUCUGAACAAAAAUUCCUAAUGCAAGUUCAGAAUCCUCUAUAGUUCUGUGCCCUUUUGGGAAAUUAACUUAAAAAUCUGUGGGUCAAUUAAAAUGCUUGUUUGAUGCCAUCA